UCAUCAAAGACAAGAAGGGUGCUGAAAACGUAGUCGCCGACCACUUGUCUCGGCUUACAUUUGCUGAAAAUGAGUACACUGUCCCUAUCCUUGACUCUUUUCCUUAUGAACAAUUAAUGUCAGUUGAAAAUUUACCUUGGUUUGCUGACAUAGUUAAUUUUUUGGUGACAGGACAAACUCCACCCAAUUGGAGUGCUCAAGACAUACGAAAAUUCAAGCAUGAGGAAAUUAUGACAAAAAAAUUAAUUU